rnacentral:rRNA from 1 species
GCUUGGUGCUUGCCAGGAGCCGCGUGAAGGCUAACCGUCGAAACGUUAUUCGGGAUCAUUUGGCUUACAGAGUUCUGAGGUGGGCGGGAAGGGUGGGUGUGAAAUCCCUCGGCUCAACCGAGGAACUGGGCUGUAAACUAGCGGACUCUAGGGAGAUAGAGGAAAGCGGAACUGAUGGUGUAGCGGUGAAAUGCGUUGAUAUCAGCAGGAACACCGGUGGCGAAGGCGGCUUUCGGGGUCUUACCUGACGCUGAGGAACGAAAACCAGGAGAGCGAACGGGAUUAGAUACCCGAGUAGUC